rnacentral:rRNA from 1 species
GAUGAACGCUGACAGAAUGCUUAACACAUGCAAGUCUUUGGCGAAUCUGUGCUUGCACAGGCUAGCCAAGGCGGACGGGUGAGUAACGCGUAAAGAACUUGCCCUGCAGACAGGGAUAAAAGCCGGAAACGACUGAUAACACCGAAUAAAUUGCCCGCCAGCCAUUUGCUGGGCAUGGAAAAGGUAUGCUGCAGGAGAGCUUUGCGUCCUAUUAGCUUGUUGGUGAGGUGACGGCUCACCAAGGCGAUGAUAGGUAGCCGGCCUGAGAGGGAGAACGGCCACAAGGGGACUGAGAUACGGCCCUUACUCCUACGGGAGGCAGCAGUGGGGAAUAUUGGACAAUGGGGGCAACCCUGAUCCAGCAAUUCUGUGUGCACGAAGAAGGUUUUCGGAUUGUAAAGUGCUUUCAGCAGGGAAGAAGAAAGUGACGGUACCUGCAGAAGAAGCGACGGCUAAAUACGUG